rnacentral:rRNA from 1 species
GAUGAACGCUGGCGGCGUGCCUAAUACAUGCAAGUCGAGCGAACAGACGAGGAGCUUGCUCCUCUGACGUUAGCGGCGGACGGGUGAGUAACACGUGGAUAACCUACCUAUAAGACUGGGAUAACUUCGGGAAACCGGAGCUAAUACCGGAUAAUAUAUUGAACCGCAUGGUUCAAUAGUGAAAGACGGUUUUGCUGUCACUUAUAGAUGGAUCCGCGCCGCAUUAGCUAGUUGGUAAGGUAACGGCUUACCAAGGCAACGAUGCGUAGCCGACCUGAGAGGGUGAUCGGCCACACUGGAACUGAGACACGGUACAGACUCCUACAGGAGGCAGCAGUAGGGAAUCUUCCGCAAUGGGCGAAAGCCUGACGGAGCAACGCCGCGUGAGUGAUGAAGGUCUUCGGAUCGUAAAACUCUGUUAUUAGGGAAGAACAAAUGUGUAAGUAACUAUGCACGUCUUGACGGUACCUAAUCAGAAAGCCACGGCUAACUACGUG